GCUGCCAACCAGCCCUUGAGCUUCUGGUUGCUGUCUGGAAUCUGUUUCUCCAUUUCAGGUGGCUCCAGCUGCCCGCCCAGCCGCAGCAUGGGCUCUGAGAGCUGCUGCAUGAUGGCAGCCAGUAUCCCAUGGAGAGCUCAAGUCAGCAAGAUCGUAAGCAUCUUACAGGAGCUCAUCAGCACCCUCAAGCCUUGGGAAAGGAUGUGCUCCCUUUGGUACCUGAUGGAGGCAGGCAGGGACCUCUGCCAAAAUGCACGAUGAGAGUUCUUUCCUGGCUGCACAAUGGGUGCUUCAACACGGACCUGACAGACACUUUUAGCCUGUGAGGCCCCAGUUCAGCAAAAUACUUAAGUGGGGACGGAUCUAAGCAUGCAUGUGGAGACAUGGAUUUCCCCGACUAUGAUAACUUCAGUAUAACUGUAUGUGUGCUGUGAACUCUGUACAAUUACUCUACAGGACUGGAGUUGAGCUGUGUUUCUCAUCAUGAGAGUGAAUUAGGCAAGCUGAAAGAGAAGUUCUGUUCUCUGAGCCACAUAAAAGACCCUUGUUCUGAUACUCUGCAUUCACUGGAGCUCCACACAUGGUGGGAAGAAUGGAAGGGCAGACUAGAGAGGUACUGCCCUUGAGAGGUGCUGAAAGCCCCUUGGACUUGAAGAAUAUGCUGAAUUGCCACUGUCUUCAGUAAGAGAAGAAAAUACUCAGCACCAGGCAUAGAAAAACUCAGCAGUCUGCUUAAAAAUGAAGAAGUCGUGACACCUAGCGCCUCAGUUUGGAAACAGACUACAGAAACUGCAGCCACAGCAUCCCACCAGGACACAAGUAGUCCCUGUGCAGAACCUGUUUGCUGCCCAAGAAGGGGAAGAUGAAGCCAGCAGCAACCUGGAUGUAAGUCAAGCGGAGGACAACCAUGCCGAACAGAGUGGAACUAAACCAUGUUAAUGGAGCAGUGUACAUGUGCCUGCAUUGGCACUCCAGUUUGGUACUGUUACUGUCUGUGGCUCAGCAAAAGAAGGGAAGGAGGAAGAAAUGCUACCUACUGUUCAGCAGUUCUGUGAAUGAAAAAAACUUACUUUUAAGGCUCAGCUUGCAACCUGUGGGUAGGACUCAAAACAAAAUGGUUUUUAUUAGUUCUGUUUAGUAUCACAUACUGAAGUUUGAGGCACCAAUGGUAGGUGAUUGAUUUUUGUAGAACUAGUUCCCAUAUCUCUAAUUUCUUUACAAUCUUUCUGUGUACAUUGUUAGAUUUAGAUGCAUUCCCCCCUCAAACAUUAGGCUGGAGUCAUUCUUCAUCUUCCAGGGUUAACUAAUCUAUCAUUAGAUAAACCCAUGCAGAUCCAUAUGAAAUGUUUGCUUUUAAAGCCAAGCUUUCUUACAUCAGCUUUUGACAUUUUAUUCAGUUGGACAAGCUGAUUAAUUGUGUCAGCAUUAUACAUUUGCUUUGCAAUGAAUACUAAGCAGAUGUUAUACUGGCUUGUUGCCCCACACUGAGCAUGAAGAGGUAAAUCCUGCGAGACCUUGCUUUUGUUAGUAGGUCAGUUACCAAAAGGUCAAAUAGUGUCUCUUAGACUGUUUCCUACAUAAAUAUGAUAUUGAUUAAUCUUAGAUAUUUUGAUUCAGGUCUUCUGGGAGGGGCUUUAUAUUAGAAGUACAAGGCCAAAACCUGACAUGUCAGACUAGGCAAAAUGUCUGCUGACUGUAAGGGCAAUUUUUUCUGUGAGGGUUUCCAGGUUGAACCAGCUGUGAGUUGCUCUCAUUAUAGCUUGCAUUUUCUCUCUCAGCAGACAUGCAGGCGAAGUCUGUAGGGAGAGGUAACGUCUUUUCAUCAAGCCAAUGGGAUGUAACGAAAGAAUGUUUCAGGCACACAAGUCCCUCUUUAGGUCUGAAAUGGAAACCACAAACUUCAAGCUCAAUACAGAGUGAGAAGGGAACAGUUUUUCCAAAAAAUCUGGGUAAGCACCCCUAGGAUAAAAGGAAAUGUUAGCAAGAGAAGAGAUAAUAAGCCAUACAUAAGCAUUUUCCUUCAACAUAGGCUAAACUUCAGAAAUGAACCCACUGAAACAGAACUACAUCUGUUUGACACUGGUAGAAAAGAAUCAAGUGCGUUGUUACAGAUUUCAGAAAUGGGCCUGUGCCACAAAGUUUGAAUCAUAUCUGAAGUUUCCCAAAGUUCAGGAAGUUUUCAGAACCAGGGCUCUUGGGCCCUUCUCACGUAGUUUACAAAAUGGAGUCUGUAAGCCUACAUUAUCUGUUGUCCUGGGACAAA